rnacentral:rRNA from 1 species
AUUGAACGCUGGCGGAAUGCUUUACACAUGCAAGUCGAGCGGCAGCGCGGGGGCAACCCUGGCGGCGAGCGGCGAACGGGUGAGUAACAUAUCGGAACGUACCCAGUCGUGGGGGAUAACUAUCCGAAAGGAUAGCUAAUACCGCAUACGUCCUGAGGGAGAAAGCGGGGGAUCGCAAGACCUCGCGCGAUUGGAGCGGCCGAUAUCGGAUUAGCUAGUUGGUGGGGUAAAGGCUCACCAAGGCGACGAUCCGUAGCGGGUCUGAGAGGACGACCCGCCACACUGGAACUGAGACACGGUCCAGACUCCUACGGGAGGCAGCAGUGGGGAAUUUUGGACAAUGGGGGCGAACCCUGAUCCAGCCAUUCCGCGUGAGUGAAGAAGGCCUCGGUUGG